rnacentral:rRNA from 1 species
AGUGAACGCUGGCGGCGUGCUUAACACGUGCAAGUCGAACGAGAACGGGUUAUAGCUUGCUAUAAUUGUCAGCUAAGUGGCGCACGGGUGAGUAAUGUAUAGGUAAUAUGCCUCUUACUAAGGGAUAACAAAUGGAAACGUUUGCUAAUACCUUAUACUCCUUAUUAACAGAAGUUAAUAAGGGAAAGAUUUAUUGGUAAGAGAUUAGCCUGUAUUGUAUCAGUUAGUUGGUGAGGUAAUGGCUUACCAAGACUAUGACACAUAACUGGUUUGAGAGGAUGAUCAGUCACACUGGAACUGAGACACGGUCCAGACUCCUACGGGAGGCAGCAGUGGGGAAUAUUGCACAAUGGACGAAAGUCUGAUGCAGCAACGCCGCGUGGAGGAUGACACAUUUCGGUGCGUAAACUCCUUCUAUAUGAGAAGAUAAUGACGGUAUUAUAUGAAUAAGCACCGGCUAACUCCGUGCCAGCCGCCGCGGUAA